GUUGGGUGGUGGUGAAGGCUCUAUAGGUACACAGGAAGAUGGUGACGUAGGAGAGGUCGCUGCCCUGGAAGGCUGGCACCAGGUGCUCCACCAGCUUCUCCAGCGUGCCAGCCUUCACGGUCCGCACCUUGCAAGUCUCAUAAAGGUUCAGGGCCGACUCAUUCUCAUACUGGGGUGGGACAGAGGAGGGACAGACAGUCAGUGGCAGCACACGAAUCUCCUGGAGCUCAGAUGGAACCCCGAGCCCUCAGCAGCUUGUGGCAAGAGGCAGGACUGAGUAUCUCUAGCAGAAAAAGGUUAUCAGCUUUAAAAGUAGAAUUUCAGGCCAGGUGUGGUGGCUC
rnacentral:lncRNA from 10 species